AUUGAACGCUGGCGGCAGGCCUAACACAUGCAAGUCGAACGAGUGGCGGACGGGUGAGUAAUUUCUGGGAAACUGCCUGAUGGAGGGGGAUAACUACUGGAAACGGUAGCUAAUACCGCAUCCCAUCGGAUGUGCCCAGAUGGGCUUAGCUAGUAGGUGGGGUAAAGGCGCACCUAGGCGACGAUCCCUAGCUUGUCUGAGAGGAUGACCAGACACACUGGAACUGAGACACGGUCCAGAAUCCUACGGGAGGCAGCAGUGGGGAAUAUUGCACAAAGGGCGCAAGCCUGAUGCAGCCAUGCCGCGUGUAUGAAGAAGGCCUUCGGGUUGUAAAGUACUUUCAGCGGGGAGGCGUUACCCGCAGAAGAAGCACCGGCUAACUCCUUUCCAGCCGCCGCGGUAAUUC
rnacentral:rRNA from 1 species